UACAGAGAGUGCAAACGUUGUUCGGAAUUACUGGGCUUAAAGCGCGCGUAGGCUGCAUCGUAAGUGUCUGGUGAAAUCCCACGGCUCACCCGUGGAACUGCCAGGCAUACUGCGAUGCUAGAGUGUGGUAGGGGAGAGCGGAGCUCCUGGUGGAGCGGUGAAAUGCGUAGAUAUCAGGAGGAACACCGGUGGCGAAGGCGGCUCUCUGGUCCACAACUGACGCUGAGGUGCGAAAGCUAGGGGAGCAAACGGG
rnacentral:misc_RNA from 1 species